rnacentral:rRNA from 1 species
AACGCCGGCGGCGUGCUUAACACAUGCAAGUCGAACGAACCUUCGGGUUAGUGGCGGACGGGUGAGUAACGCGUGAGAAUCUGCCCUCAGGAGGGGGACAACAGCUGGAAACGGCUGCUAAUACCCCAUAUGCCGCGAGGUGAAAUGAAUUUCGCCUGAGGAUGAGCUCGCGUCUGAUUAGCUAGUUGGUGUAGGUAAUGGCUCACCAAGGCAUCGAUCAGUAGCUGGUCUGAGAGGAUGAUCAGCCACACUGGGGCUGAGACACGGCCCAGACUCCUACGGGAGGCAGCAGUGGGGAAUUUUCCGCAAUGGGCGAAAGCCUGACGGAGCAACGCCGCGUGAGGGAUGAAGGCCUCUGGGCUGUAAACCUCUUUUAUCAAGGAAGAAGAUCUGACGGUACUUGAUGAAUAAGCCACGGCUAAUUCCGUGCCAGCAGCCGCGGUAAUACGGGAGUGGCAAGCGUUAUCCGGAAUUAUUGGGCGUAAAGCGUCCGCAGGCGGCCCUUCAAGUCUGCUGUUAAAAAGUGGAGCUUAACUCCAUCAUGGCAGUGGAAACUGUUGGGCUUGAGUGUGGUAGGGGCAGAGGGAAUUCCCGGUGUAGCGGUGAAAUGCGUAGAUAUCGGGAAGAACACCAGUGGCGAAGGCGCUCUGCUGGGCCAUCACUGACGCUCAUGGACGAAAGCCAGGGGAGCGAAAGGGAUUAGAUACCCCUGUAGUCCUGGCCGUAAACGAUGAACACUAGGUGUCGGGGGAAUCGACCCCCUCGGUGUCGUAGCCAACGCGUUAAGUGUUCCGCCUGGGGAGUACGCACGCAAGUGUGAAACUCAAAGGAAUUGACGGGGGCCCGCACAAGCGGUGGAGCAUGUGGUUUAAUUCGAUGCAACGCGAAGAACCUUACCAGGGUUUGACAUGAUAUGAAUUUCUUUGAAAAAAGAAAGUGCCUUUUGGAACAUAUACACAGGUGGUGCAUGGCUGUCGUCAGCUCGUGUCGUGAGAUGUUGGGUUAAGUCCCGCAACGAGCGCAACCCUUAUUUUUAGUUGCCUUAUGGAACUCUAGAAAGACUGCCGGUUAUAAACCGGAGGAAGGCGGGGAUGACGUCAAGUCAGCAUGCCCCUUACACCCUGGGCUACACACGUGCUACAAUGGGUAAGACAAUGAGAUGCAACUCUGCGAAGAUAAGCUAAUCUAUAAACUUACUCUAAGUUCGGAUUGUAGGCUGCAACUCGCCUGCAUGAAGUUGGAAUCGCUAGUAAUCGCUGGUCAGCUACACAGCGGUGAAUUCGUUCCCGGGCCUUGUACACACCGCCCGUCACACCAUGGAAGCUGGUUAUACCCAAAGUCGUUACUCUAACCUUUUUGGAGGAGGAUGCCUAAGGUAGAAUUAGUGACUGGGGUGAAGUCGUAACA